GACGAACGCUGGCGGCGUGCUUAACACAUGCAAGUCGAACGGUGAAGGGACCAGCUUGCUGGUUCUGGAUGAGUGGCGAACGGGUGAGUAACACGUGAGUAACCUGCCCCCUUCUUCUGGAUAACCGCAUGAAAGUGUGGCUAAUACGGGAUAUUCUGGGUCUGUCGCAUGGCGGGCCCGGGAAAGAUAUUGCUUCGGUGGGGGAUGGGCUCGCGGCCUAUCAGCUUGUUGGUGGGGUGAUGGCCUACCAAGGCGGUGACGGGUAGCCGGCCUGAGAGGGUGGACGGUCACACUGGGACUGAGACACGGCCCAGACUCCUACGGGAGGCAGCAGUGGGGAAUAUUGCACAAUGGGCGCAAGCCUGAUGCAGCGAUGCCGCGUGAGGGAUGGAGGCCUUCGGGUUGUAAACCUCUUUCGCCAGUGAAGCAGGCCUGCUCCUUGUGGGUGGGUUGACGGUAGCUGGAUAAGAAGCGCCGGCUAACUACGUG
rnacentral:rRNA from 1 species